UGGGGAAUAUUGCACAAUGGGGGAACUCUGAUGCAGCGACGCCGCGUGAACGAAGAAGGCUUUCGAGUCGUAAAGUUCUUUUAUAUGGGAAGAUAAUGACGGUACCAUAAGAAAAAGCCCCGGCUAACUACGUGCCAGCAGCCGCGGUAAUACGUAGGGGGCUAGCGUUGUCCGGAAUCACUGGGCGUAAAGGGUUCGCAGGCGGAAAUGCAAGUCAGGUGUAAAAGGCAGUAGCUUAACUACUGUAAGCAUUUGAAACUGCAUAUCUUGAGAAGAGUAGAGGUAAGUGGAAUUUUUAGUGUAGCGGUGAAAUGCGUAGAUAUUAAAAAGAAUACCGGUGGCGAAGGCGACUUACUGGGCUCAUUCUGACGCUGAGGAACGAAAGCGUGGGUAGCAAACAGG
rnacentral:rRNA from 1 species